CGUACACUCCUACGGGAGGCAGCAGUGGGGAAUUUUGGACAAUGGGCGAAAGCCUGAUCCAGCCAUGCCGCGUGCAGGAUGAAGGCCUUCGGGUUGUAAACUGCUUUUGUACGGAACGAAACGGCCUUUUCUAAUAAAGAGGGCUAAUGACGGUACCGUAAGAAUAAGCACCGGCUAACUACGUGCCAGCAGCCGCGGUAAUACGUAGGGUGCAAGCGUUAAUCGGAAUUACUGGGCGUAAAGCGUGCGCAGGCGGUUAUGUAAGACAGUUGCGAAAUCCCCGGGCUCAACCUGGGAACUGCAUCUGUGACUGCAUAGCUAGAGUACGGUAGAGGGGGAUGGAAUUCCGCGUGUAGCAGUGAAAUGCGUAGAUAUGCAGAGGAACACCGAUGGCGAAGGCAAUCCCCUGGACCUGUACUGACGCUCAUGCACGAAGGCGUGGGGAGCAAACAGGAUUAGAUACCCUUGUAGUCCCAU
rnacentral:rRNA from 1 species